GUGGGGAAUCUUGCGCAAUGGGCGAAAGCCUGACGCAGCCAUGCCGCGUGAAUGAUGAAGGUCUUAGGAUUGUAAAAUUCUUUCACCGGGGACGAUAAUGACGGUACCCGGAGAAGAAGCCCCGGCUAACUUCGUGCCAGCAGCCGCGGUAAUACGAAGGGGGCUAGCGUUGCUCGGAAUUACUGGGCGUAAAGGGCGCGUAGGCGGAUCGUUAAGUCAGGGGUGAAAUCCCGGGGCUCAACCUCGGAACUGCCUUUGAUACUGGGUGUCUUGAGUAUGAGAGAGGUGUGUGGAACUCCGAGUGUAGAGGUGAAAUUCGUAGAUAUUCGGAAGAACACCAGUGGCGAAGGCGACACACUGGCUCAUUACUGACGCUGAGGCGCGAAAGCGUGGGGAGCAAACAGGAUUAGAAACCCUUGUAGUCC
rnacentral:rRNA from 1 species